rnacentral:rRNA from 1 species
AGGAUGACCAGCCACACUGGAACUGAGACACGGUCCAGACUCCUACGGGAGGCAGCAGUGGGGAAUAUUGCACAAUGGGCGCAAGCCUGAUGCAGCCAUGCCGCGUGUGUGAAGAAGGCCUUCGGGUUGUAAAGCACUUUCAGCGGGGAGGAAGGCGGUGAGGUUAAUAACCUUGGCGAUUGACGUUACCCGCAGAAGAAGCACCGGCUAACUCCGUGCCAGCAGCCGCGGUAAUACGGAGGGUGCAAGCGUUAAUCGGAAUUACUGGGCGUAAAGCGCACGCAGGCGGUCUGUCAAGUCGGAUGUGAAAUCCCCGGGCUUAACCUGGGAACUGCAUUCGAAACUGGCAGGCUAGAGUCUUGUAGAGGGGGGUAGAAUUCCAGGUGUAGCGGUG